UACAGAGGGGGCAAGCGUUGUUCGGAAUUACUGGGCGUAAAGGGCGCGUAGGCGGCCUUCUAAGUCGAACGUGAAAUCCCCGGGCUCAACCCGGGAACUGCGUCCGAUACUGAAAGGCUUGAAUCCGGGAGAGGGAUGCGGAAUUCCAGGUGUAGCGGUGAAAUGCGUAGAUAUCUGGAGGAACACCGGUGGCGAAGGCGGAUCUCUGGGCCAUUACUGACGCUGAGGAGCGAAAGCGUGGGGAGCGAACAGG
rnacentral:rRNA from 1 species